GGAUGUGAGGGUGAUCUGGCUGCGACAUCUGUCACCCCAUUGAUCGCCAGGGUUGAUUCGGCUGAUCUGGCUGGCUAGGCGGGUGUCCCCUUCCUCCCUCACCGCUCCAUGUGCAUCCCUCCCAAAGCUACGCGCUCGGUGGAAGAGGACGACGUCCCAGGUAUAGAAGGAGUGUACUUGCAAGG
rnacentral:snRNA from 1 species